rnacentral:rRNA from 1 species
GACGUAGGAUGCAAGCGUUGUCCGGAUUUAUUGGGCGUAAAGAGUUCGUCGGCGGUUCGUUAAGUCUGAUGUUAAAGACUGGGGCUCAACCCCGGGAGUGCAUUGGAUACUGGCGGACUGGAGUGUGGUAGAGGCUAGUGGAAUUCCCAGUGUAGCGGUGAAAUGCGUAGAUAUUGGGAAGAACACCAGUGGCGUAGGCGACUAGCUGGGCCAUAACUGACGCUGAGGAACGAAAGCCAGGGGAGCGAAUGGG